rnacentral:rRNA from 1 species
UGCCUUGGUGCACUGCAUGAAUGGAUUACGCUGCUUCUAACAAGUGAAACCCACUUUGGGCAACACCUUUGACAAAUUUGACCUCAAAUCAGGUAGGACUACCCGCUGAACUUAAGCAUAUCA